rnacentral:rRNA from 1 species
GACGAACGCUGGCGGCGUGCUUAACACAUGCAAGUCGAACGGAAAGGCCCUGCUUUUGUGGGGUGCUCGAGUGGCGAACGGGUGAGUAACACGUGAGUAACCUGCCCUUGACUUUGGGAUAACUUCAGGAAACUGGGGCUAAUACCGGAUAGGAGCUCCUGCUGCAUGGUGGGGGUUGGAAAGUUUCGGCGGGUGGGGAUGGACUCGCGGCUUAUCAGCUUGUUGGUGGGGUAGUGGCUUACCAAGGCUUUGACGGGUAGCCGGCCUGAGAGGGUGACCGGCGACAUUGGGACUGAGAUACGGCCCAGAGUCCUACGGGAGGCAGCAGUGGGGAAUAUUGCACAAUGGGCGGAAGCCUGAUGAAGCAACGCCGCGUGCGUGAUGACGGCCUUCGGGUUGUAAACCGCUUUCGCCUGUGACGAAGCGUGAGUGACGGUAAUGGGUAAAGAAGCACCGGCUAACUACGUG